rnacentral:rRNA from 1 species
UGGGGAAUAUUGCACAAUGGGCGCAAGCCUGAUGCAGCCAUGCCGCGUGUAUGAAGAAGGCCUUCGGGUUGUAAAGUACUUUCAGCGGGGAGGAAGGCGAUAAGGUUAAUAACCUUGUCGAUUGACGUUACCCGCAGAAGAAGCACCGGCUAACUCCGUGCCAGCAGCCGCGGUAAUCCGGAGGGUGCAAGCGUUAAUCGGAAUUACUGGGCGUAAAGCGCACGCAGGCGGUCUGUCAAGUCGGAUGUGAAAUCCCCGGGCUCAACCUGGGAACUGCAUUCGAAACUGGCAGGCUAGAGUCUUGUAGAGGGGGGUAGAAUUCCAGGUGUAGCGGUGAAAUGCGUAGAGAUCUGGAGGAAUACCGGUGGCGAAGGCGGCCCCCUGGACAAAGACUGACGCUCAGGUGCGAAAGCGUGGGGAGCAAACA